GGCUGAUUUUCGGGGCUCAGAAGAGCCAAACGUUUGCUUUUGGUCCCCAUUAACCAGCCGCC
rnacentral:pre_miRNA from 1 species